AGCCAAAUAUUUAAGCAUUCGAAAUACCUUCUCGAAACUGACAUCCGGUAUUUCGAACGGAUUGCAAAUAUCCUUAAAAAUCGACAAUGGCGAAUCAGCUUAAAUUUCUCUUACCAGUUUUACCACUUUUUUAUUCGAAGAUAAUAUUGUACAAAUAACACCUCAUAGCUGCAAUGUAAAUUUUGUGAAAAUUAGGAAUACAGACAAAAUCUUCUAACAAAUCUUUUUGCUUCCAAGAAAUUUUGUGACCAAAAUUCGGUUGCAGAAGUGUCAAUAUUCAGGUGCGUUUCCACCGCUGUCAAAUGUGUGAUGUUAUCGUGAGUGUCUCGUUGAAGCAUCGACUUGACCUGCGAUUAGAAAUGAUUCUGUUUUACGUAACUUAUACAAAUCCUUUAGGAUUCAUUUUUAUCCAUUGCGAAUUAUUAUUUUUCGCAGUUCUUUUUUGCUAGAUUUCCGAAUGUUUGUUGAUGGCACAGGUGACUAAAAAUGUUACAAUAUGUUAUACUAAACUCCAAUCCCGAAAGCUUCAUUGUUUGCUAUGUUUUUCUUCCAACGCUGAUAACAUCAGUAGUUAUCGGAAUGGAGCUUUCAAUUGUUAUGUACAGCGCUCAAUACAUAGAUUGGGCACUCUUUCCUAAAGUGUUCACCUCUGGGAGUCGAAAAACAUGACUAACAACAAUUGUGGGUGGUUUGCAGUCACUCAGUGGAGUAUGUGUGUGUGUCUGUCAAAAGCUAUGUGAUACCUUCAUUGUUGAACAUAGGAUGACUGAUGUUGUCAUUUGUACUCUUCCGUUGAUUUCUUCCAAGUUCACCUUAUCAAUAAUGUCAAUGUAAGUCGCUGUAGCUUCCUUCCAAUUACAAAAAAAAAAACAAAGUUAUGUUGAUGGACAUGAUUGUACUGAACCGUUAGAGUAGGGCGGCGCGCAAACACAGAUGAUGGCGGCGUUCUCAUCAAAAUAAAUUAAAAUUCAUUACCCUUACGGACCCAUCCCCUUCUCACGGUGUCGAGAGAUACAUCGACAGAGAGAGAGAUAUGUAUAUAACCGCCGCGACCGUCACCACCGUCGAUUGAGUAGAAUGGGAACGACAAAACUACAUUUUUUAUGCUGGUGUUUAAGUGAAUGUAUGUUUCGGGAUGACAUUUCGCCACGCGCACACUCGCGAGCUCUCUCGUUGUCAGUCCACUGUUCAAUCUAACGGUUUCUCUCUCACCCUUCUUCGAAGAGUGCCGGUCUUUAUGUGUAUACAGAUUUUGAUUACGUUUUUCCGUGUUUUCUUGCCCGCCGCUUCACUUCGCGUUCUCUUGCUUAUUUACUUUCUUUACCAUAAUAUGUUGGCUCUCUGUUUUGGUUGAUUUCGAUCAUGCGCGAGCGGUUGCUCACUCUCGUCGAUUCCGAAGAUCCGCACAGCUGAGUAAAACGGUCUCACGAGUGGCCUCUCUGUUUUGUUCCAUAGAGUUCGAUAUGGUUUUCCAUUUGUGCCGCCCUGCAAACCUUGUAGGGAAAAUGCGGAAAGCUUUCGCCCGGUGGACUCGCAAUACGGGUGAGAGUGAGUGCGUCGUGGUUGAUCGCGGGAGAAUGAGUCCCAGUGAGUGGCAAGUGAAAAUCAAGUACAAAGUAAGACGAGCUUUGAAAAUUGUUGAUGAACAAACGCGAGUCUUAGAGAAUGUGCAUGCCCGCAGGUCUGCGGUCCCGCAUCUGGCAGUCGUAGCAGUUAGUCGGUAUCUGACUUGAAAUGGAUUAACUUCCUUCUGCGGAACUAACAAAAAGAAAAAGUGACGACCUAACACGUUUCCGUGCGAAAGUUUCGGUCUAGCCGUUUGAUUUUUCCGUUUGUUGCCUUGUAUUGAAUUUUUCGUAUUAACCCUUUAGAUAAUUCUACCGCAUAAGCAGAGAAUAGCGGCUGGUGGCUAUAGAAAUAGCUGUGCUUUGUAAAAAGAAAAUCAAAUUAUUAGUGAUCUUGUUGUGUAUGGUAUAAAGAAAAACAAAACUUAUUGUUACUAUUAAACAAGUGAUAAACUUCCAACCCACCGGUCUCAAUGGAACCACCUUCUGGAAAGGAAAAUAACCAAAAAACCACCCACUACAAUCAAUAGUUCGAUAUCAAUAGGAUUUCACAAGUGAUAAGUGUUGUUAAUUCAGUCUAGUGUCCCGAAGAGAGGACCGUGUUGAAGUGUUGAAAUCUAACCACAUAUUUUCCGUGAUUGAUCACACCUCACUACAGCAGGCAUUGUGCGUAUGUCAGUGUUCGGAUUCGCCAGCAGAUAUUAAGUAAACAGAAGGAAAAUAAUUUGAAAUAUAUUAUAACUACACCAAGUGCUAGGAAUUCCUCAAAGAGAGCGAUCCGUUCCCGAUGGACCACCGCCGUGUGAUUGGUGUGCACUGAUGAACCACCUUCGACCGUUCGUCGGAAUUUCACAGUACUACGGAAAAGCCCAGGCUUGUUGUACCUGAAUUGUUGAAGUUUGAUACGCCCCACUCGGUGCCAUUGAUAAGCAAGGUGUUCCAACAAUCGAUAAGCAGUGACAUUGGAUGUGUGUAUGUGUGUGCAUUGGCCAAUCAAACAAAUAUCGUCGGCAGUCGUGCCCGGUGAUAAGGUGUCGUCAACAACAAUUACGCAUCAGCUUUAUGAACCAUCGAUAAGUGCGCUUUGUGCCGAAGGUGUCUUCAGUUGGACCAGUUUCUUGUAACGACGUAUACACGUGCGAGUAUAACACCGUGAAGCUUUAAGGACCUAGUUCUGUAGAUAUUUUGCGGUUCUGUUGACUUUUGCACUAGCUGCUAGUGGAAAGGACAGAACACACCCGGAUAAACACCAGUGGCCUCUAAUAAAAUAAACUAAUAGAAAAAUAUAGAUCUAUACGUAGUAGCUAGUUAUCAAGAGUUCGUAUCCAUCGGAAGCCUUACAACGUGCUUUGAGAGCAUAACAAAAAUAUAUAUAUAUCGGCCAAGAGGCUAACCCACGAAAAAGUUUCCAGUGAAUUGAUAUCGUUACCGUUAUCAGAGGAACAGAAAAGAGUGUAAUAUUCCCAGAUCAAGCCGGCUUGUUGUGGCAAUGGGCGUAUGAAAAUUGCGGUCGAAGAAGUACGAGUAUAACGCACAUUCAUCUCAUUGGUUUGUGUGUGUGUAUCCGAAGGUUCGAGAUAACUCUAUGCAAAAUAUGUGUAAUUUGCGAUAACAACCUCGUCGAAAGCGAACGAUAUAGUACAAGAGGAGGGAGGGAAGUACACCAAAGAGCAAAACAUAUUUUUUUCAAGCGUUCCCGGCUCGAUCGAUGAAUGUACUUCUCGACGCGAGGAGUUAGCCACCGAACGCACCCGGAGUCAGCAUCGAAUAUCCUCACAGUGAACGACAGCUUGUCGCGCCCAGUUGCAAAAACUAAUAAAAGAUAAUGAGCGAAAAAAUUAUCACGGCAAUAUAGAGUGCUACUGCGACAGCCCUCCCCAAGGACUCGGCCAGUGAUCCGACGGGAACGUAGCUAGCGCCGAAGUGACAACAACCAAACGAAAACGGGCUGCUUCUCACACCCCACCGGGUCUCUCAUCAAACCAAGGCAGAAUAGUAACAAGCGUAACAUUUUGACACGCCUGAGAAAACACACUUUCUUCCAAUUUCACGUUAGGAUUGCAAACGAACCACCACCGCCCCAAAUUAUAGGUAGGUGGUGCAAUCAGAGCGCAUCGUGAAAAAAGUAAAGUGGCGAAAGGAAAAAUUCGUUAUUUUGUUUUUCUAACUAACUGGUGGUGGAAAGCAUAACGAAGAGAAAGGAUCGCGCCGUGCAAGCAUACCGUAAUCAGGCCACCGUUGACGGAAGGACGACAGUGAAUUGUUCCCGACCGAAGACGGAGACGGCACUGCCGAGAGCGUUGAUAAUAAAUGAAAUGAAGAAAUAAGUGCUAUCGAAGUUAAAUUCAAUUAUAAUACGACCUAUCUCCAUCAGUCAGUGUAUCAGUCGGUGUUCAUGGUUUUCUAGCAGCGGAAAUACCCGGCCCAAGGUUGCAACAGUGGUUUCCUAGUGACAGUUUGUGAAAUAUAGCAAGUGCUCUACAGUCGGGUUUUAGGGCUUGGUUGCAUAACGUUGAUUAUUGAAAAUUGAAACAGUACUACACUACACCGGCAGCGAGAGCAGAGGUUGCAAUACCCCGGCGAAUACGAUGGUGGUACUGGAACAUACCACAAUGACGACCGCCCUGCUGGGUGGACCAUAUGCUCAGGGUGCCCCGGCACUGAAGCUGAUUCCCAAACGCUUUCUCGGAUUGCAUCAGUGGCUCAGUCCGAUCUGUGCCAGCAAGGACCUCAAAGAACUCGUAAGUUAUAUGUGCAAUCAAGUCGUCCCCACCUUGUUCCUUGAAACGGAGCACGUACCAUGCGACCACGGCGACAGAGGCUUACAGUUUAUAGCCCCGGACUGCCAUUUUUCCAAUUAACGCUUCCUGUUGCUGCCGCCCGUCCUUCGUAACGCGGCAUUUUUUAUCACCCGGUGGCUAUUUUCGCCGAUGCUCCGCACGUGUAAAGCUUGGUCGGUUAAGUGGGGUUUAAGAUGUUAAAUUACUAUCGUUGGAUCCUACGUUCCAGUUGACUCUAAACUACGAAAUAAAUUUUCUUAGUUGUAAUCAGGUGAGCUGUGCGUUCCCUUACUUCAUGAUGGAAAACGUGCUACUUCGGGGUGUAAUUUUGUUACUCUAGAACGGAUUUUCGUAUACUCGUACGCACGUACACAGGAAUACAUGCUAGAACCAAAUGAAUUACCCAGAUGGCAUUAUUUUCGUAUUGUAACACACAACAUUUAAUGAUUUACUGGACCAGUCGACCGGUUAUGACCGCUUACGAUGGAUGGUACCAGUAUAAACUCCCAAUAUCCGGAUAAAUUUCAUUAAAUUGAAACAUUUCCAAGGGUUUUAUUUUUCUAUCAGGUAAAGAAAAUAUACCUUGAAUUUCGUGGAUUGCUGCCUGUUUGUGAUACAUUGUUGCUGGGUGGUCGGCCAUCGACAAAAAUACAAUAGCUGUAAUGGAUUAUUGAUUCGUUCACGUGCCCACUGGUCAGUCCCUCUGGAAGGGGUGAUUUGUUUCUAGUGUUCAAUUUUUUCCUCCUAAUGGCAACUACCAAGUGCGGGAAAUCGCCCACUUUUUCUCUCCCACCAACACAUUGGGAUGGUUAAUGGAAAAUGGAACAGUUGAAAGGUGAAAAUAUCAUUGUAAGGCUGAGGACAGCCACGAGGUCGCUAUUGUACAGAUUCUGAACAGAGUUUAUACUGCACACGAACUAACCGAUGGAUGAUGGUUUUCUAUUUGAAUAACGAAUAUGCGACACUUCAGAGUAUGGUUUCCUGUUUGUUAUCGAUAUAAGCACUCGAAUGAUGGCGGUCUAACCUGACCAGUGUCACGAAUUUUUACCUGGAAAUGUUUUUUUUUCCUCCACAUUCAAUUGAUUGCUAGUAUUUGAGUGUUGAGGGGAAAUACUUGAAUGAAUACCAUUUGGUCGAUAUCAGUUUCCCGAUAAGUACGAGGAAAUAUUGGAGUGUCGCGUGUGCUGGAAAUAAAAACAAUUACCGAUAGAUAUCUCUAUCUCGUCGGGAAGCAAUCGAUCACCCCAACCUGCCACGCUAAAUUGCUCAUGGCCUAACUGUGCGAGUGAAUGUAACCAUUCAACGUUUUUCAUAUAAUGAUAGUAUAUUGAAGUCGAUGUAUGUAAUAAUUCAAUUUUAAGAAUGAUUACAAUAAUUUCGUGAU